rnacentral:rRNA from 1 species
GACAGAGGGUGCAAACGUUGCUCGGAAUUACUGGGCGUAAAGCGUGCGUAGACGGUUAUUUAAGUCGGAUGUGAAAGCCCCGGGCUCAACCUGGGAAUUGCAUUCGAGACUGAAUAGCUAGGGUGCGGUAGAGGGAAGCGGAAUUUCCGGUGUAGCGGUGAAAUGCGUAGAUAUCGGAAGGAACAUCAGUGGCGAAAGCGGCUUCCUGGACCAGCACCGACGUUCAGGCACGAAAGCGUGGGGAGCAAACAGG